UACGGGGGGGCAAGCGUUGUUCGGAAUUACUGGGCGUAAAGGGCUCGUAGGCGGCCAACUAAGUCAGACGUGAAAUCCCUCGGCUUAACCGGGGAACGGCGUCUGAUACUGGAUGGCUUGAAUCCGGGAGAGGGAUGCGGAAUUCCAGGUGUAGCGGUGAAAUGCGUAGAUAUCUGGAGGAACAUCAGUGGCGAAGGCGGCUGCCUGGCCCAAUACUGACACUCAGGUGCGACAGCGUGGGGAGCAAACAGGG
rnacentral:rRNA from 1 species